GACAGAGGGGGCAAGCGUUGCUCGGAAUUACUGGGCGUAAAGGGUGCGUAGGUGGCGCCGUAAGUCAGGUGUGAAAUUUCGGAGCUUAACUCCGAAACUGCAUUUGAUACUGCGGUGCUUGAGGACUGGAGAGGAGACUGGAAUUUACGGUGUAGCAGUGAAAUGCGUAGAGAUCGUAAGGAAGACCAGUGGCGAAGGCGGGUCUCUGGACAGUUCCUGACACUGAGGCACGAAGGCCAGGGGAGCAAACGGG
rnacentral:rRNA from 1 species